AUUCCAUCCAAUUAGGAUUGUGUGAGUGUUUUCUUGGAAAGAAAGGGUUGUGUGGUUUGAUCAGGGAAUCAACAAAGAGAUUAAAAGAAAACUUUGAUCAUAGGCUUACAAUUUUUGGCUACAGCAAGGAUACGGGUAAAGGUGUGGUUAACGGUGAACAGGUAGCCGAUACCUGAUUCAUUCCAGCUUCGUUCAGUCCAGUUCAGUCGAGGUGAGCCACCAUUAGAUCAUGGCGGCCUCUUCUUCUUUAGUUGACUUAGUAGUAUCCCGAGCUACGUCUCGUACUUUUAUAUUCAGACUAGUAGUUCCAUGACUUAGACAUUUUAUGGGGUUUAUGGGAAGACUCAGUAUUUAUA